rnacentral:rRNA from 1 species
GAUGAACGCUGGCGGCGUGCCUAAUACAUGCAAGUCGAGCGAACGGACGAGAAGCUUGCUUCUCUGAUGUUAGCGGCGGACGAGUGAGUAACACGUGGAUAACCUACCUAUACGACUGGGAUAACUUCGGGAAACCGUAGCUAAUACCGGAUAAUAUUUUGAACCGCAUGGUUCAAAAGUGAAAGUCGGUCUUGCUGUCACUUAUAGAUGGAUCCGCGCUGCAUUAGUUAGUUGGUAAGGUAACGGCUUACCAAGGCAACGAUGCAUAGCCGACAUGAGAGGGUGGUCGGCCACACUGGAACUGAGACACGGUCGAGACUCCUACGGGAGGCAGCAGUAGGGAAUCUUCCGCAAUGGGCGAGAGCCUGACGGAGCAACGCCGCGUGAAUGAUGAAGGUCUUCGGAUCGUAAAACUCUGUUAUUAGGGAAGAACAAAUGUGUAAGUAACUGUGCACAUCUUGACGGUACCUAAUCAGAAAGCCACGGCUAACUACGUG